rnacentral:antisense_RNA from 1 species
GCCCCAGAGAGCCCUUCCCCAUUGACACUGUUCGCAGACGAGCUGCUUAGUCUGUUUUUCGUGUUUGGCAGUUUAUUUUCCUUCUUCCAUUUCAUUCGCCUGUUUUGGAACCAGAUUUUGAUCUGGCGCUCAGUCAGACACAGCGCAUGCGCGAUUUCUAUUCGUCUUCUCCGUGUGAGGUAUCUGUUGAAGUGAAAUUCUUUCUCCAGUUCCAAGACUUGGUGUCUUGUGUAGGCCGUUCUCGUCCUCUUGCUGUCUGUCCCGUAUGCUCCAUUGGCUCCAGCAGCACAUAUACGGUUGCCAUAGAAACCAAAGGAGCGUCUCAAGGAACUUCCUGCCAACUGCAGCUGCUACCAUGGCAACGGCGUCAUCAACAAACCAGCGCAGCAUUUGUGUGUGUUACAUCAUCAGCUCUAGGUGAUAACCAGCAGCCUCAUCUCUUGAUAUAUCUUUGUCCAUCAUCCUGCAGUUUAUUGAUAGAACAGUAUCCAUAAGUCGCCUUACAAGCUUAAUUAACCCGGCCGAGCGGUAAGCUCCCUUGUAUGGCGUCCAUAUUGCACAACACAUCAGAAUAUUUUUGCCAUUUUUCAAAUUUAGUAUGAGCAGACAAUUUAUGCAAAAAUGCUUAAAAGACUCCUUUUGCAAAGAAAUUCUUGAGCGAAGUAAAAAGCAGUGUCUUAAGCCCUCAGACCCGUGUUAUUGACAAAGUUGCACACGUCAAAAAAAAAAAAAAAAAAAA